CGUGAACAAAACAAUAACAACAGCUGCUGCUUAUUAUUUCCCUGCUCAGAUGUCAGUGGCUGACAUCCAGAGGUUAUUCGCUCGGAUGGAUUUCAGAGAAUUUUAUCACUUCUCAACGCUCUAAAAAUAGUAAUAUCAGCAGCGACUCUGAGACCGCAAACACUUUAUAUUUAACAGAAGGUUGCGAAGGUUACAUCUAUUAAUUUCACAGUGAAGGCGAUGGAAAGCUGAGAGUGAAAUGUAUUGUCCUUUCAGUGAUGAAUGUGAUUCUGUGUUGCAGUAAAUCUGAGCAUCGCAGGCAGACGCUCCUGAUGAACAGACAAUAACACUGAUGCAUCGUUUCCAGGAAAGUCCUCCGUGAUAUCGACCCCUCCUUUGCACUUAUUAAAGACACAGCGAGGUGCAAUCAGAAUACAGAAAAGCACCGGCAGAAUCACUUUCAUCUGUAAUUCACAAUCGACAGAAUCAGGACUACAUCAGGGAUUGAUUCUCUGUCUGCUGGAAAAACAUCACGUGACACAUGUUUUGCUGAAACUAAGACACACAGAGUCUCCCCGUGACUCCCGUCAGCGCCUGAUUGGGCGGAAUCUCGUCGCCGUAACCAUGGCGACUGCCCACAGAGCACCUGGAGUGGUGACGCAGGCGUCGCUAUGACUCCUGAAGGACGGAGCGGUGAUAUAAAUAGAAAAAGAGAUAAGAAACGGGGGGAUAUUUGGGGAAGAUGAUGGCAGCUGUGACCCACACACACACACACACACUAGAGCCACAGGUGUGCCACUGACUGAAUGCCAGUGGGAAUGGCUCUCAAUGUGACUUUGGAAACUCGUCACCAGCAGGGAUUUCACUGUCAAUCCGACUGUAACAGGAGACGUGGAGCACUAAAGUGUGUCGUCCCACAGGAAAAUGAUGAAUAUUGCUCAGACGAGGCUCUCUUACAGCUCAGGAGACUCUCUUACAGCUCAGGAGACUCUUGUUUUAAGGAUGAGCUUUGUCUCAGAUGUUUCUUUUUAGAAAUGGAAGUAAAAACUAGAAUAUUUACAUUUUCUGAAGGAAAUAUUGUGUUUUAACAUGAAGAGGGGAAAGGGUUCUUACAGUAAACUAAAACUAGCACAAUAGAAAAUUGUUAAUUAAAAUACAAAGCUUUAAUUAAAAUAAAAUAAAAUAAAAUAAAAUAUAUAAAAUGUAAAAGUAAUUUAUUUCAGCAAUUUUUUAAUUUUCUGUAUUUUAACUUUAUCUGAUAUAUAUGCAAUGAAUUAAAAAAUACACAUUACAUACAUACAUGGGAUUAUUCUUAUUUAAAACUAAAAUCAUUUUAAAUAAUUUUGUUAUUAAAAAUGUCAACUAAAAUUAAAUAAAAUAUUUUUAAAAACUUAAAAAAAUAUGACAAUUUUAAGUUUAGUUUAAGUAACAGAAUAACUAAAACUGGAAAACUAUAUAGACUUAUUCAAACUUAAUCAAAUAAAAAAAUUAAAAACAUUCAAAUAUGAAUAAAGACUAUAUUAGUAUCUCAAUGAUACUGCUUUACUACAUUGUUGUUUGGUUGCUAGGUUGUUAUUGGUGGUUGCUAGGCAGUUGCUAACACGUGAGUCACUAGAUGUCAUUCAGUAAGAUUUUAGAGCUAUAAAAUGAACGUUGCUCAUUUUAUGUUUGGGUUCUUAUUGAGAUUUUGAUUGCAGACUUUGGUCACUGGAAAGUUGAGCUCAGCUUGAGACUCAUGUGAGUUCAACUUUUUUCAGGAGAAACAUCUGAGAAGCAGCACGACUCGGCAGAACUUUGUCACCGCAGUAAAAAGCGGAUUAUGCAAUGUCUGGCAACCCUACUGCUGUUUACAUAUCAAACCGUGUUCAGUUUCAGUGUCACAGACAGAAAACGUGACAACUGCAUGAAAAUGAAAACAUCAAAUCAGUCACCAAGAACUGAGUGUUUGGGAAAAAUGUUUGCUGUGUUUAAAAUUCGAUCGGGUGAAAGAAAAUAAAUGUAAUAUAAUAUAUGUGUGUGU
ensembl:lncRNA